rnacentral:tRNA from 1 species
GCCUCAGAUGGUGGUGCAGCGGAUAGCACAGCAAGAAGGUCCUGGGUUCAAAUCCCGGUCUGGGGCU